GGGAGAGUAGAGAUUGAGAGAGAGCGCUUGGGCUAACCUUGGCCGAGAGGAAGAAGAAUUGAGAAGGAAAGCUGGGCGGCCAUGGCCGCAAGCAACCAGCUUGCAGCAGCCAUUGCGACGAGCAGGAGGGGCCGACGAAGCAGCAGCGCGGUGGCAGCGGGCAGCUUUAAGCUGCCGAUCGGCCAAGGGGGUGGCUCGCGGUGGCGUGAGGAGGCUCAAGGGGGCGUGCAGCGGCGGCCGGGGAAGACAGGCGUGGCCAUGGCAGCAACCAGUUACAGCGAGGAGCAACCAGCCGCGGCCGCGAGCGGCUGCCAACAGCAGUCGCGGUUGUGUCCAGGGAGGCUGACGGAGGCGCUGUGGGUAGCGAGGGAGGCAGCAGCAAGUGGUGCGGCGGCUGUGCGCCCUGGUGCGAUGCAGCGAAAGGAGAAGAAAUGAGAGGAAAAAGAAGGAGAAUAAUAAUAAUAAUAAUAAUAAUAAUAAGAAGAAGAAGAAGAAGAAGAAGAAGAAGAAAAGGAAGAAAAGAAGAAAAAAAAAAAAAAGAGGAAGAAGAAGCUGUUCGCGGAGGCAGGGGAGAAGAAGAUGAACAGUAGAAGAGGAAAAAAAACAAAAAAAAAAGAAAAGAAAAAGAAAGAAAGGAAAAGGAAAUAGGAAAUGUUGGGAAAAAAAUUAUAGAAAAUAGAAAAUUAUAUUUCGGAAAUAUCCUGGAGAUUUUGGUGAGAAAAACGGCCCAGGCACGCUUUUCGGGAAUAUAGCAAGCAUAUCAAGGAAAUCGGAGAUGCUAAGUCAAGGAUGUUUUGAGGCUUAAGUUGAAGUGACUGGUGUAAAUUUUGAGGUUGGCACGCAAAUCGAGGCGAUGCACGCACUUCGAGACAUGCGCGAAUAUCGAGAUAACUUGAUAAGCUUGAGAAGGUGGCAGCAUGUCUGUUGAUUUGCAUCACUUGGUUGCCCACAUAUAUAUAUGCGGACGGAUAUAAGGAGAAAGUAUUCUGCUCUCUCUCACUCUCUCAUUCUCUCUCGCCCUUUGUUAUAGAAACCCUAACUCUGAAAUCUGAUCCCUUCUAUGUAUUUUUGAUGUAUUGUGUGUGAACAAUCGAUGCUUCUGAGAGUGCUCUUGAUUCUUGCUGAGAUUGCAAGUUUGUGCUUCUUUAUUUGCAUCGUAUAUCACUGUAAGUUGGGUUUUUUCAGUUUAUAGGGUUUGGAUUAUUGUAAUCCUAUUUUGUGUAAUCUUGUUGCUCGG